AAUAUUGCACAAUGGGGGAAACCCUGAUGCAGCAACGCCGUGUGAGCGAUGAAGGCCUUCUGGUCGUAAAGCUCUGUCCUAAGGGAAGAUAAUGACGGUACCUUAGGAGGCAGCCCCGGCUAACUGCGUGCCAGCAGCCGCGGUACUACGUAGGGAGCAAGCGUUAUCAGGACUCAUUGGGCGUAAAGGGUGCGUAGGCUGCCCUAUAGGUUAGAGGUCAAAGGCUACGGCUCAACCGUAGUAAGCCUUUGAAACUGUAGGGCUUGAGUGCAGGAGAGGAGAGUGGAAUUCCUAGUGUAGCGGUGAAAUGCGUAGAUAUUAGGAGGAACACCAGUGGCGAAGGCGACUCUCUGGACUGCAACUGACGCUGAGGCACGAAAGCGUGGGUAGCGAACA
rnacentral:rRNA from 1 species